CAAGAGGUCCUCCCUGACCCCUUUUCUCCUCCCGGUGGUCCUCCAGAGGAGAUCCGUCCCCCGAAGCUCUUCCCGUUGGUGCCGUGCGGACCUUGCGAGGACCACGUGACCGUGGGCUGCAUGGCCUCCACCUUCUUCCCACCGCCCACCACCAUCCGAUGGACCUCCGGAAGUUCAGGAGAUCUUCAAACCUUUCCGAUGACUUCGGAUCCUUCCGGAACCUUCUACAGCCUCAGUAGUACCUUCACCCUUCCCUUCCAGGAGGUCCAAGACAACGUCUUCCGCUGUCAGGUGGACCACAACAACUCCACCGCCGGCCUGGACAUCGCAGACCCCUGUGGCCCAGCGGCGCUGGAGGUCCACCUUCUGAGCGAAUCGGUGGCCUCGGAGAAGGUCCUUCUCCUCUGCUGGGUGGAAGGCGCCGGCGCCGAAGAAGCCCACGUGGAGUGGGGGAUGAACGGAAAAGCGGUGGAACUCCACCAGGAGACCUCGAGCUGCUCCGACCAUGAGAGGUCCACCUUCUCCAGCAGAGUCAACGUCACCCGGCAGAGCUGGGACGCCGGCGCCGACUUCUCCUGCGGUGUCUCCCACCCAUCCUGGAAGACCUCCAAAGUCCUCCACAUCCACAACGGAUGUCCAGGUCCUCUGGCCAUGGAGGUGACCCUUUCCCCUCCCAGCUUGGAGGAACUCUUCUUGACCCAAAACGCCACCGUCCUCUGCGUGGCCACCAACGUCAAAGACCCCGAGGACCUCAAGUUCUCCUGGAUCCGAGAAGGUGGUGGUGGAACCUCAGGAGAUGUCUCCACUUCUCCACCUCAGGAGUUGCCCAACGGUCUCUACAGCGUCACCUCCACCGUGAAGAUCUGCGCCGAGGAGUGGAACUCCGGCCAGAAGGUCACCUGUGAGGUCCACCUGCCCGGAAUGGAGGUCCCCAUCACCAGGACCAUACGGAAGGAGAUAGGUUCCUCGGCGGUUCCUCCCCAAGUCUACGUCUUCCCACCCCCCGCGGAGGAGUUAAGCCGUGAAGAAGCGGUGACCUUGACCUGUUUGGCCACCGCUUUCCGUCCCGCCGACCUUCUCCUGACGUGGACUCAAAGCCAACGUCCACUUCCGAGGUCUUCGUUCCUGGUUUUUGGUCCAGAACUUCAAGGAGACCUCUUCGUGGCCUACAGCGCUUUGACCGUUCCCAUCACCGCGUGGCAAAACGGAGAGGUCUUCUCCUGCCUGGUGGGCCACGAGGGGUUCCCCUUCCGUUUCGUCCAGAAGAACGUGGACAAAACCAUGGGUAAAGCCACCGCCGUCAACGUCUCGGUGGUUUUGGCCGACUCGGAGGUCACCUGCUACUAAGAAAAGGUCCCGAGGAAGGCGGUGGGGUGGGAGGAGAAGACAAUGGGAGGCGGCGGAGGACCUCUGUGGAGAUGAAUAAAGGAGAACGGUGGUUGUCA